ACCAGGAUGGCCGAGUGGUUAAGGCGUUGGACUUAAGAUCCAAUGGAUGUAUGUCUACGUGGGUUCGAACCCCACUCCUGGUA
rnacentral:tRNA from 1 species